AUGAGCUGUUUCGAGCUCUCUAAGGGGCUGUCAGUUGUCCUCCAAAUUAACGACAACUAUGUCAAAUUUUGGUGGGCCGGAUCACUAGACAAACGAGGAAUGCAUUGGCAAUCCUGGGACAAGCUUGUUAUCCCAAAAAAUCAUGGAGGGCUGGGCUUUCAUGACCUCCCAUCCUUUAAUGAUGCAAUGCUCGGGAAACAGGCCCGGAGAUUGCUUGAAAGCCCUACAAGUCUGUGUGCCCGAGUACUGAAGGGAAGAUACUAUCCAAACACCGAUUCCUUAUCGGCCGGCUACCCAAAAAGCAUGUGCCAGCAGCUCCAAUGUCGAUCCAUGUGGCAUACACGAGCCUUAUGGAAGCUUAAAGUAUUACCAAAGAUCAGGAUUUUCUGGUGGAGGGUUCUAAGGGGCCUCCUUCCAUUUUCAGAAUGCUCUCUCACAUCGCCGUAUUGCUGA
rnacentral:rRNA from 1 species